UGGGGAAUAUUGCACAAUGGAGGAAACUCUGAUGCAGCGACGCCGCGUGAGUGAAGAAGUAGUUCGCUAUGUAAAGCUCUAUCAGCAGGGAAGAUAGUGACGGUACCUGACUAAGAAGCUCCGGCUAAAUACGUGCCAGCAGCCGCGGUAAUACGUAUGGAGCAAGCGUUAUCCGGAUUUACUGGGUGUAAAGGGAGUGUAGGUGGCCAUGCAAGUCAGAAGUGAAAAUCCGGGGCUCAACCCCGGAACUGCUUUUGAAACUGUAAGGCUGGAGUGCAGGAGGGGUGAGUGGAAUUCCUAGUGUAGCGGUGAAAUGCGUAGAUAUUAGGAGGAACACCAGUGGCGAAGGCGGCUUACUGGACAGUAACUGACGUUGAGGCUCGAAAGCGUGGGGAGCAAACAGGAUUAGAUACCCUGGUAGU
rnacentral:rRNA from 1 species